GUGAUUAAAUCGAGCGUGUCUUCAUUGACCGCUCACCCUUCUCACCAUCCACAUACACCUGUGCACUGUCUUAGCCUGAGCCGGUUUUCCGGUCCAGGUUAUCAUUUCAUACAAACUCUAGUCUUAUGAAUGUAAACGUUUUAAUAACAUAAUA
rnacentral:misc_RNA from 1 species